rnacentral:tRNA from 1 species
UGGGCAGCCGCCGGAGGACGGGCUUUGUUGAUGUCAAAGAUUACAUAGAGUUAUCUUUAUGCUGCUAUA